rnacentral:rRNA from 1 species
CACGGUCCAGACUCCUACGGGAGGCAGCAGUGGGGAAUAUUGCACAAUGGGCGCAAGCCUGAUGCAGCCAUGCCGCGUGUGUGAAGAAGGCCUUCGGGUUGUAAAGCACUUUCAGUCGUGAGGAAGGCGGGUACGUUAAUAGCGUAUUCGUUUGACGUUAGCGACAGAAGAAGCACCGGCUAACUCCGUGCCAGCAGCCGCGGUAAUACGGAGGGUGCGAGCGUUAAUCGGAAUUACUGGGCGUAAAGCGCAUGCAGGUGGUUUGUUAAGUCAGAUG